GCUUUUCUUUUGCUGGCGACCGGCGCACGGGUGAGUAACACGUAUCCAACCUACCCUUUACUCGGGGAUAGCCUUUCGAAAGAAAGAUUAAUACCCGAUAGCAUAAUGAUUCCGCAUGGUUUCAUUAUUAAAGGAUUCCGGUAAAGGAUGGGGAUGCGUUCCAUUAGGUUGUUGGUGGGGUAACGGCCCACCAAGCCUUCGAUGGAUAGGGGUUCUGAGAGGAAGGUCCCCCACAUUGGAACUGAGACACGGUCCAAACUCCUACGGGAGGCAGCAUG
rnacentral:rRNA from 1 species